GCUCUAUUUUAAGAAGUGACAACCUGCAAAUCCCCGCCCCCCACCAUCCCUACCCCACACCUCUCAGGUGCCUAGCCUCUGGGGAGGGCCCGGCUGGCCUAUCUGCAGAGAGAGCCCACACUUCAAAUGGAGCAGCCUCUGGCCCCCAGGUUGGCUUGUUUGUGGACAGAAAGCUCUCUGGACCAGGCAUGAUGGCUCACACCUGUAAUCCCAGCACUUUGGGAGGCCAAGGCAGGAGGAUCACCUGAGGUCAGGAGUUUGAGACCAGCCUGACCAACAUGGAAAAACCCUGUCUCUACUAACAAUACAAAAAAUUAACUGAGUGUGGUGGCUCACACCUGUAAUUCCAGCUACUUGGGAGGCUGAGGCAAGAGAAUCACUCGAACCCGGGAGGCAGAGGUUGCAGUGAGCUGAGAUUGCACCAUUGCACUCCAGCCUGGGCAACAAGAGCAAAACUCCAUCUCAAAAAAAAAAAUUAUAAUUUCUUAAAAGCAUCAUGCAUACUUGAGACUUCUUUGAAAUGAGAACAUCUAAACCAACCAACAGCUUUAAAAUGUAAUGAAAUGUUCAUGAUUUCUAGGCUUUCCAAUUAAUGAAGGUGUCACAUGAUUGUGGUUUAUAGACAUUAAAUGACAUAAUUUUCAUUUUCAUUUUCUGGUUUUUAAAAAGUAUUUUGGGCCAGGUGCG
rnacentral:lncRNA from 1 species